rnacentral:rRNA from 1 species
CCUCGGGUGGCAGCAGUGGGGAAUAUUGGACAAUGGGCGAAAGCCUGAUCCAGCCAUGCCGCGUGUGUGAAGAAGGCCUUCGGGUUGUAAAGCACUUUCAGUGGGGAAGAAAGCCUUGGGGCUAAUACCCUCGAGGAAGGACAUCACCCACAGAAGAAGCACCGGCUAACUCCGUGCCAGCAGCCGCGGUAAUACGGAGGGUGCGAGCGUUAAUCGGAAUUACUGGGCGUAAAGCGCGCGUAGGCGGUCUGAUAAGCCGGUUGUGAAAGCCCCGGGCUCAACCUGGGAACGGCAUCCGGAACUGUCAGGCUAGAGUGCAGGAGAGGAAGGUAGAAUUCCCGGUGUAGCGGUGAAAUGCGUAGAGAUCGGGAGGAAUACCAGUGGCGAAGGCGGUCUUCUGGACUGACACUGACGCUGAGGUGCGAAAGCGUGGGUAGCAAACAGGAUUAGAUACCCUUGUAGUC